rnacentral:rRNA from 1 species
AUUGAACGCUGGCGGCAUGCCUUACACAUGCAAGUCGAACGACAGCGGGGGAGAAGCUUGCUUUUCCUGCCGGCGAGUGGCGAACGGGUGAGUAAUACAUCGGAACGUGCCCUGUAGUGGGGGAUAACUAGUCGAAAGAUUAGCUAAUACCGCAUACGACCUGAGGGUGAAAGUGGGGGACCGUAAGGCCUCAUGCUACAGGAGCGGCCGAUGUCGGAUUAGCUAGUUGGUGGGGUAAAGGCCUACCAAGGCGACGAUCAGUAGCUGGUCUGAGAGGACGAUCAGCCACACUGGGACUGAGACACGGCCCAGACUCCUACGGGAGGCAGCAGUGGGGAAUUUUGGACAAUGGGCGAAAGCCUGAUCCAGCAAUGCCGCGUGUGUGAAGAAGGCCUUCGGGUUGUAAAGCACUUUUGUCCGGAAAGAAAUGGCUCUGGUUAAUACCUGGGGUCGAUGACGGUACCGGAAGAAUAAGGACCGGCUAACUACGUGCCAGCCGCCGCAGUAA